rnacentral:lncRNA from 1 species
AAUCAGGAUUGAAAAAUAACCAAAAAUCCCUCUGGGAAAAAAAUCACCGGCUUCAUCUUCACGUGUAUGCCAGGGGCCAUGGGACAUCUGACGGGAUCAGAUCACAGAAGAAGUUUUGAAAUGAAGACCUUCAGGACUGUGUUGAGAAGUAAAACAUCUCCAAGGAAAGGACAAACAUCCCAAACAUCCCCAGCAUCCCAACACGGUGCCCGACGCUGCCGUGGACCCGACUGACAGAGGGCCUGUCCUCCCCAGCUAAACCCAGUCCAUAUUUCAUAUAUAUUUAUUUAUAUAUGGAAUAUCCCCCACUUUAUCUGUGCUUUCUAACAAGUGCAUUAUGCAGAAGGGAACAUCUUUGGAGCCAGAUUAUCUUCAACUUAUGUGCAAUAUAACAGGACUGAGCAAAGCCGGGAGAAAGGAGGAGGAGAGGUGGAAGUCACUUGGACAUUAUUUCAGUAUUUUUUAAUAUUAUUAAAAAAAAAUCUCUUGAAAGAUGAAGCAACCAGAAAGGAAAUGUUAAGCAGAGCUGCUAAAACUCAGUCCA